AUUGAACGCUGGCGGCAGGCCUAACACAUGCAAGUCGAGCUGAGCGGCGGCCGGGUGAGUAGUUCCUAGGACUCUGCCUGUUAGUCGGGGAUAACGUCCGGGAGGGGGCGCUCAUACCGCUUCCUCUCACAUGAGCCUAGGUCGGAUUAGCUAGUUGGUGGGGUAAAGGUCUAACAAGGACACUAUCCGUAACUGGUCUGAGAGGAUGAUCAGUAACAGUGGGACUGAGACACGGUCCAGAAUCCUACGGGAGGCAGGAGUGGGGAAUAUUGGACAAGGGGUGAAAGCCUGAUCCAGCCAUGCCGCGUGUGUGAAGAAGGUCUUCGGAUUGUAAAGCACUUUAAGUUGGGAGGCGUUACCAACAGAAUAAGCACCGGCUAACUUCGGGCCAGCAGCCGCGGUAAUAC
rnacentral:rRNA from 1 species